rnacentral:rRNA from 1 species
UACAGAUGAGCCAAGCGUUGUCCGGAUUGACUGGGCGUAAAGCGCACGCAGGCGGUCGCGCGCGUGGGGGGGGAAAUCUGGCCGCUUAACGGCCAGGCGCCAUCCCAUACGGCGCGUCUGGAGUGAUGCAGAGGUCGAUGGAAUUGCCGGUGUAGUGGUGAAAUGCGUAGAGAUCGGCAGGAACACCCAGGGGGAAACCAGUCGACUGGGCAUCUACUGACGCUGAGGUGCGAGAGCGUGGGGAGCGAACCGG